AUUGAACGCUGGCGGUAGGCCUAACACAUGCAAGUCGAACGGCGGCACAGGAGAGCUUGCUCUCUGGGUGGCGAGUGGCGGACGGGUGAGGAAUACAUCGGAAUCUACUUUUUCGUGGGGGAUAACGUAGGGAAACUUACGCUAAUACCGCAUACGACCUACGGGUGAAAGCAGGGGAUCUUCGGACCUUGCGCGAUUGAAUGAGCCGAUGUCGGAUUAGCUAGUUGGCGGGGUAAAGGCCAACCAAGGCGACGAUCCGUAGCUGGUCUGAGAGGAUGAUCAGCCACACUGGAACUGAGACACGGUCCAGACUCCUACGGGAGGCAGCAGUGGGGAAUAUUGGACAAUGGGCGCAAGCCUGAUCCAGCCAUACCGCGUGGGUGAAGAAGGCCUUCGGGUUGUAAAGCCCUUUUGUUGGGAAAGAAAUCCAGCUGGUUAAUACCCGGUUGGGAUGACGGUACCCAAAGAAUAAGCACCGGCUAACUUCGUGCCAGCCGCCGCCGUAA
rnacentral:rRNA from 1 species